rnacentral:rRNA from 1 species
UACGUAGGGUCCGAGCGUUGUCCGGAGUUACUGGGCGUAAAGCGCGCGCAGGUGGUCCAUUAAGCCCGGCGUGAAAGCCCCCGGCUCAACCGGGGAGGGUCGUCGGGGACUGGUGGACUUGAGGGCGGCAGGGGCUGGUGGAAUCCCCGGUGUAGUGGUGAAAUGCGCAGAUAUCGGGAGGAACACCAAUGGCGAAGGCAGCUCGCUGGGACGUUACUGACGCUGAGACGCGAAAGCGUGGGGAGCAAACAGG